UGGGGAAUAUUGCACAAUGGGCGCAAGCCUGAUGCAGCCAUGCCGCGUGUAUGAAGAAGGCCUUCGGGUUGUAAAGUGCUUUCAGUCGGGAGGAAGGUGGUAAGGUUAAUAACCUUAUCAAUUGACGUUACCGACAGAAGGAGCACCGGCUAACUCCGUGCCAGCAGCCGCGGUAAUACGGAGGGUGCAAGCGUUAAUCGGAAUUACUGGGCGUAAAGCGCACGCAGGCGGUUGAUUGAGUCAGAUGUGAAAUCCCCGGGCUUAACCCGGGAAUUGCAUCUGAUACUGGUCAGCUAGAGUCUUGUGGAGGGGGGUAGAAUUCCAUGUGUAGCGGUGAAAUGCGUAGAGAUGUGGAGGAAUACCGGUGGCGAAGGCGGCCCCCUGGACGAAGACUGACGCUCAGGUGCGAAAGCGUGGGGAGCAAACAGG
rnacentral:rRNA from 1 species